rnacentral:rRNA from 1 species
UUUAUGGAGAGUUUGAUCCUGGCUCAGGAUGAACGCUGGCGGCGUGCCUAAUACAUGCAAGUCGAGCGAACAGAUAAGGAGCUUGCUCCUUUGACGUUAGCGGCGGACGGGUGAGUAACACGUGGAUAACCUACCUAUAAGACUGGGAUAACUUCGGGAAACCGGAGCUAAUACCGGAUAACAUAUUGAACCGCAUGGUUCAAUAGUGAAAGGCGGCUUUGCUGUCACUUAUAGAUGGAUCCGCGCCGUAUUAGCUAGUUGGUAAGGUAACGGCUUACCAAGGCAACGAUACGUAGCCGACCUGAGAGGGUGAUCGGCCACACUGGAACUGAGACACGGUCCAGACUCCUACGGGAGGCAG